rnacentral:rRNA from 1 species
UACGGGGGGGGCAAGCGUUGUUCGGAAUUACUGGGCGUAAAGGGCUCGUAGGCGGCCAACUAAGUCAUACGUGAAAUCCCUCGGCUUAACCGGGGAACGUGCGUCUGAUACUGGAUGGCUUGAGUUCGGGAGAGGGAUGCGGAAUUCCAGGUGUAGCGGUGAAAUGCGUAGAUAUCUGGAGGAACACCGGUGGCGAAGGCGGCAUCCUGGACCGAUACUGACGCUGGAGGAGCGAAAGCCAGGGGAGCAAACGGG